CCUACGGGUGGCAGCAGUGGGGGAUAUUGCACAAUGGGCGCAAGCCUGAUGCAGCCAUGCCGCGUGUAUGAAGAAGGCCUUCGGGUUGUAGAGUACUUUCAGCGGGGAGGAAGGCGAUAAGGUUAAUAACCUUGUCGAUUGACGUUACCCGCAGAAGAAGCACCGGCUAACUCCGUGCCAGCAGCCGCGGUAAUACGGAGGGUGCAAGCGUUAAUCGGAAUUACUGGGCGUAAAGCGCACGCAGGCGGUCUGCCAAGUCGGAUGUGAAAGCCCCGGGCUCAACCCGGGAACUGCAUUCGAAACUGGCAGGCUAGAGUCUUGUAGAGGGGGGUAGAAUUCCGGGUGUAGCGGUGAAAUGCGUAGAGAUCUGGAGGAAUACCGGUGGCGAAGGCGGCCCCCUGGACAAAGACUGACGCUCAGGUGCGAAAGCGUGGGGAGCAAACAGGAUUAGAUACCCCCGUAGUC
rnacentral:rRNA from 1 species